AUACGUAGGUGGCAAGCGUUGUCCGGAAUUAUUGGGCGUAAAGCGCAUGUAGGCGGUGCCUUAAGUCUGUCGUGAAACUGCGGGGCCUAACACCGUAUGGCGAUGGAAACUGGGGUACUUGAGUGCAGGAGAGGAAAGGGGAACUCCCAGUGUAGCGGUGAAAUGCGUAGAUAUUGGGAAGACCACCGGUGGCGAAGGCGCCUUUCUGGACUGUGUCUGACGCUGAGAUGCGAAAGCCAGGGUAGCGAACGGGAUUAGAUACCCCGGUAGUCCUGGCCGUAAUCGAUGGGUACUAGGUGUGUGAGGUAUCGACCCCUUCCGUGCCGGAGUUAACGCAAUAAGUACCCCACCCGGGGAGUACGGCCGCAAGGCUUAAACUCAAAUGAAUUGACUGGG
rnacentral:rRNA from 1 species